rnacentral:rRNA from 1 species
GAUGAACGCUAGCGAUAGGCCUAACACAUGCAAGUCGAGGGGCAUCACAUGAAGUAGCAAUACGGAUGGUGGCGACCGGCGCACGGGUGAGUAACACGUAUGCAACCUGCCUUCAACAAGGGGAUAACCCGUUGAAAGACGGACUAAUACCCUAUAACACAGGGGUCCCGCAUGGGAAUAUUUGUAAAGAUUGAUCGGUUGAAGAUGGGCAUGCGUUCCAUUAGCUGGUUGGUGAGGUAACGGCUCACCAAGGCAACGAUGGAUAGGGGAACUGAGAGGUUUAUCCCCCACACUGGUACUGAGACACGGACCAGACUCCUACGGGAGGCAGCAGUGAGGAAUAUUGGUCAAUGGACGCAAGUCUGAACCAGCCACGUCGCGUGAAGGAAGACGGCCCUACGGGUUGUAAACUUCUUUUGUAAGGGAAUAAAGUGUAGUACGCGUACUAUUUUGCAUGUACCUUACGAAUAAGGAUCGGCUAACUC